CGUGACUAGCGGAUUGAAUGAUAAGAUGUCGAGUAUGCCAAUAAAUUAAUUAAUAAAACAAUGAGUAAUUAAAUUAAUCAACAGAGUGAAAACUUUAUUGCGCUGGGAGAGACAAUUUUAUGGGAGGUUAACGCUGAUGGGGGAUUCUCAACCAAUAUGGCCGCUUAAGCAACUGAAUGAGAUGAGAUGAAAAUUAUUUAAAGGAACCAAAAAAUGCGGAAUGUUUAACGCAGCUGUGAGGAGCCUAUGCACGUCUUUGUAGCGACCGCCAUCUUGUUUUCUCCCGGCAUGGGGAUUCUAAGAUGGCGGCCAUCGAGAUGAGUUGAAAUCUUUUCCACAAGCUGAAGUCUAACUGGUCCAAUCGCGUUUAACCUCUUCACGAAAUUGUCAAAAAAAUCAACAAAAAUUCUAAUGAAUAAUAAUAAUAAUAAUAAUAAUAAUAGUAUGAAUAAUAAUAAUAAUCCUCUUUCAAGGACUCUUGAACUGAGUAAUUGGGCUCCCCCCUACCAAUAAAUAUUAAUAGCAACUAAUUAAACGCUAAAUUCGCCAAUUUUUCAUUCUACGAAUCCCACGGAAACGCCUGGCUGUGGCCCCCAAGGUUUUCCUGUUAGCAGUGACACCACCAACCUGUUUUUUCACUUCUGGCUCGGUGUCACUCGCCUCUGACUUUCGCACCAGGAGUUCCACCCGCUCGUCAUCCUCCUGAUCCGUAAGAAAAUGAAUGCCACUGAUUCUCUCGGUCUUGAUGUAACGAUUCGUAUCACCAGGGCGACUGUCCUCGUUAGUCCCGUCAACGCUGCCCUCACAGUCCGGAGAUCCCCCAUUAUUGGGUAGAUUCAACUCUGGUAUACUGUCUUCACGAGCCUGGGGGGACUCGCAGAGCUCGAAGGUUAUGUCCGCUGGGAGGGUUGGAAGCAGAUCUGUGGGGAAGAGGGUGGUUUUGUUAGUUUUUUUGGGUUCUGAGGAAUUGUUAUACGAUUGUAAGGAAAAAUUUGAGUGGAUGGUUAGGAAAUGUGGGAGAAAAUUUUCACGAGAUGAGUGUUAAAUAAUCUCUUGACCAUUUAACCCUCGACUUGAAAAUUUUCAAGAUCGUUUGAUCCUCAAUCUCCAUGGGAUAAAAAAAAACAUCAAAAAUAAGUUAUUUGUUUAAUUUUAAUCAUUUAAUGAAUGAAGUGCUCGUAGAUACAAGAAAAACUCUCGGUCGGGUAGACUAUUGCAAUGUAUAUCACAAAGUGUUACAAAGAAACUACAAUUGGAUAAAAACAAAUAAGGAUAUCAUUAAUUUUUUCAUUAUAUAAUUCGCUUCGCCACCAGGCACCAAGGUAAUAGGUACAUAGGUACAUAAUAUUAUACAUAGAACACUCAUCGAAUUUGUCUAUUACAAACUUUCCCCCAAAUCUUCAAUUAUCAUUACUAUCAAAUGUGCAGUUUAACAUAAAUCAUUUAUUUUAUUAUAUUCCAUCCAUAAACAUUAAUUUUAAUAUCAAAUCGCGGACAAUGUUUCGUGCUUCUAUAAUACAAAAGUAAAUUUCAUUUAUCUAUGUACGUGCAAAUAAAUCAUCUAAUUGUAUUGAACGAUUAAUUAGGAAAAGACGAGACCAAUCAAUUUUUUUUAUCUCGUUUCAUUGGGCCCCACCCUUUCCUCCUCAAUCACCAGAUACAUGAAAACGUUGAAAGGCCCUGAGAAUAAAAAAAAUGGCGUAAGAAAUGUCAAAAGAUUGUUUUAAAAAAUUCACUCUGCGUGAGUCUGUGAAAGUGAACUGAAAACGAUCUGAAGAGAAUAAAUAAUUUUAAUAAAUGUUUAACAAUGCGAGGCGAGAGUACCGCCAUCUUGGUAAUCUUCUGUGACAGAGGGGCGAUGUACAAGAUUGUUUUUCCUCGACUCGUAGUUUUUUAAGAUAUAUUAACCAAAAAUUAUAAUUAUUUCCUGUGUAAUGAAAAGAAUGUCCCCCCUGUGCCCACCUUAGAGUUAUACAUUGGCAGAUGCAACGUAAAGUGAGGUUAGAAAGCUCAAUCUUCAUUCCCAUUGCAAUAUUCUCUGUCUUCAUCCCGGAUACCAUAAAGUUAUUCAAUUUCUUCAGAUUAUUUUGUCACUUUUUCAACAUCAGCCAUUUUUCCUCACUCUCAGUAUCUGCCAACCAAAUUUUCGUGCUGAACAUGUGAACGAAUCACAGUCGCUCAUGAUUACCCAGGAAAGAAACUGUCUCAUUCCCUUGGAACUGAAGAAAGUGGAAAAAAGAAAAUACCAUUGUCCAUUUUAAAUAAAAAAUAAUAAUAAACUGUCGAUGCCACUUACAAGCCUACGUGAAUCCUACAUUACACCCCUAACAACGUUAAAUAAAAUUUAUCCAUCAUUGUAUAUAAUAAACUUUAUUUUCCAUGUGAAAUAUGCAUCACAGCGUUCCUACAUCUGUGCAUUAUGAUAAAUCGUUACUAGUACCCGAUGUUAUAUAUUUUUUUUAAAAGAAAUAAUAAAGAAAUUGUAGUAUUAUUAACUCAAUGCUGUGAUAUAUCGAUAUAAAUCUAUGAAAUAUCCUAAAGCGAAUAAAUCUUGAAUGUAUUUUUUUUUCUUUUAAUAUGAAAUAAAAACUAAAUAAACAAAGUGAAAGUAUUAAUUCGUGGGUGAAGGAUAAAAUUAUGAAAAUAUUUAACAUUAGUUCGUCCUCAACUCAAUCAUCCACUGAAUGAGUUAAUAUUUAUUUUUUUUU